rnacentral:piRNA from 1 species
UGCCAGUAGUACUGGAUAAUAGUGCGUAUU